rnacentral:rRNA from 1 species
AACGAACGCUGGCGGCAUGCCUAACCCAUGCAAGUCGAACGAGACCUUCGGGUCUAGCGGCGCACGGGUUCGUAACGCGUGGGAACCUGCCCUUAGGUUCGGAAUAACUCCCCGAAAGGGGUGCUAAUACCGGCUAAUGUCUUCGGACCAAAGAUUUAUCGCCUUUGGAUGGGCCCGCGUUGGAUUAGCUAGUUGGUAGGGUAAAAGCCUACCAAGGCGACGAUCCAUAGCUGGUCUGAGAGGAUGAUCAGCCACACUGGGACUGAGACACGGCCCAGACUCCUACGGGAGGCAGCAGUGGGGAAUAUUGGACAAUGGGCGAAAGCCUGAUCCAGCAAUGCCGCGUGAGUGAUGAAGGCCUUAGGGUUGUAAAGCUCUUUUACCCGGGAUGAUAAUGACAGUACCGGGAGAAUAAGCUCCGGCUAACUCCGUG